rnacentral:lncRNA from 1 species
UGCAGUGUUAGUUGUUAAAUAAGCUCGUCGAACAAAGGGGCGAACAACAUGCACCCCUUUUUUCUGAAAAACUGCUUGUCGCAAAAUAGGAUGAACGGUGUGCACCCAAUUGAAAAAAAAAUUAAACCCCUAAACCCGACCCCAACCUUUAUUCCUCUUUCCUCUUUAUCCUUUCCUCUCCCUUUUCCCUUCUCCUUCUUCACCAAAAACCACCGCCUCCCUCUAAACUCUUCUCCUCCUUCAACCCAACUCUUGUCCUCCUCCCCAAACGUCCUUCUCCUCCCCUCCUGUAUCCACCAUACCCGUCCAUCCCCUUUACUUCCUAAACUCGUCACAC